AUACCCUAUUAUUUAUUUCUUAUAUUUAACUAGAUUAUUAAAAGUUAUUUUCUUUAAAAAUCAAAGAUUUUGGCGGUUAAUUAAAUCUUUUUAGAGGAACAUGUAUAUUAAUUGAUAAUCCACGAUUUUUUAUACCAAUAAUUUAUUUGUAUAUCUCUAUUGUGAAGAAUGUUUUUUAAAAAUAUUUUCUUUUUAUAUUAAUAAUAAUUUUAGGUCAAGGUGCAGUUGUUAAUUGGUUUAUAUGUGUUACUUUAAUAUUAUAUAAAUUUUGGAUCUUAUUGACAAUUAAUAGGAUUUAAUAGUAAUUUUUAAUAAUUUUUAUAUUUGAAUUAAGUUCUAAUUAAUGUACACAUC
rnacentral:rRNA from 1 species